UCAUCCCCUACACUCAACUUUGGCCGACAUGCAUGAAAUGGUAUUGCACUUUGCUUGUCCUCUUGUAAUAUCAAGAAGUAGCCGGCCAUGCCAAGCUCUUGGCAUGCAUGAGCUGAAAUUUCUUCAUCUCCACUUUCUUCUCUUACAAGCCUUGCCUCCCACCUAACCCAAUCACUAAAUGAGCAGCCUCCCAACCAGCCCAAUCAAUGAGGAGGCAGCCAACCAUCCUCCCUCUAUAAAAGGAGCUUGGCCGGCCACCCCCUCCUCCUUUGCUUCUCAUUUUUGACUCUCCACUCCUUCCACCACUCACUCACACCCCUCUCCUACCUCUCCCCCACGAAAUCCUGCUCCACCUAGCUACCAUGGCCGGCCAUGGCCAUAGAAAGGCACCUAGAUGAAGCUCCCCUCCUCCAUCAAGCUCAUCCUCACCAUGAGAGCAUCCCUCUCACUCUCUUCUCCCCUAACCCUAGUUGAAUCCAGCCCUAUUUCUCCUUUCUCCUCUCACAAGAUUGGAUCUUGAUGCAGGUGCAUGUUGGUCCAAGCAUGGAGAAGGUUGAGCUAUCCUCAGAUCUGAAGCUCUUGACCAAAAUCCAAAUCGAGUGAUUCAAAGUUCCGCAGAUAGGUAUUGAAAAGAUCUACAACUUGGCAUUGGUCGCAUCCUCUAAUUCGUUACGGAUUUUGCAUGAUCAAGAUCUGGUCAGAUCUGACUUUGUCGAAUUAAACCAGGAGCUUGGAAGCGAAUUUUUGAAUGAAACCAAUUGGGGGAUAUUUGGUUUAUACCAUGGUGAUAACCGAGAGAGGCAAUUGCUAAGUUGUGAUGCACUCAUACCUUUACUAGAUGCGAACAAUUCCGGAGAAGAAGAAGAAGUGGAAUCGGAUGAGAAGAUUAUUUAUAUUGUUGGAAUUCUUAUAUUGAUGGAGUUGAAGAAGUACAGGGACAAAUAAGCCAAGACAAGCCAUCUUUUGACCUCUGAUUUGGUGUCUAGUUGGAUGUCAUUUGUUGAUGUCCAAAGCACCUUGGUUCUAUGUGUGUUGUUCUCCUUAUUAUUGUCAUAUAUGUAUGGUUGCUAGUGGAGUACUCCCUAGUGGUGAUACUCCACUAUUGUCUUUGUGAUUAUGGGAUGCAUGGUAUCAUGGCCGUGCUAUUCCUCUUGGUUAUCUUGUAUGCUCGACUUGAGCAUGUUCCAUCUCAAGAUAAUGACUUACACUACACCCACCACUUUUGUAGUAUAGAGGUAUCAAUGUCAUGAUCUUGGUGUAUUCUCAACUUGAGAGGAGUAUGCCGUGUACCCAUUGGAGAGUAUGUUGGAUAGUGAUAAUCCACUAUCUAAGUUGUAUAUUUAGCACCACAAAUCUGAAAGUAUAAUCCUCCUUGUGUGGUCAUAGUACAUGCUUACCUUAAGCAA